GAUGAACGCUGGCGGCGUGCCUAACACAUGCAAGUCGAACGGACAUUUUUUGGAAAGCUCUUCGGAACUGGAAUCUAAAUGUUAGUGGCGGACGGGUGAGUAACGCGUGAGCAAUCUGCCUUUCAGAGGGGGAUAACAGCCGGAAACGGCUGCUAAUACCGCAUAAUGCAUCGGAUUCGCAUGUUUUUGAUGCCAAAGAUUUUAUCGCUGAAAGAUGAGCUCGCGUCUGAUUAGUUAGUUGGUGAGGUAACGGCCCACCAAGACGAUGAUCAGUAGCCGGACUGAGAGGUUGAACGGCCACAUUGGGACUGAGAUACGGCCCAG
rnacentral:rRNA from 1 species